rnacentral:misc_RNA from 1 species
UUAAGUUCAGCGGGUAGUCCUACCUGAUUUGAGGUCAGAGGGGCAUCGAAAGGAGAAGCUGAGACACUCAAGUCAGUGUAAACAAAUUAUCACACUGAUGGUCUCCAAAGCUAAUGCUUUUGAGGAGAGCUGGCUCAAACAGACCAGCAAUAUACUCCCAAAGUCCAAAACACCCAAGAAAAGUGUUUUGAUAGUUUAAU